CUUGUCCUCUGUACGCAUUCAAAGCAAACAUAUCCUUCCUUCUAUCCCUUUAGUGAUUCCUCAAGAGCCCUUUUUACCAUUCCUUCACCAACCAUCAACAAAUGGCAGAAGCCAUUCUCUUCGACGUUGCUGCACGAAUCAUUGAGAGCUUGGGAUCCCAAACUCUCAAAGAGAUCAGACUGCUUUGGGGUGUCACAGAUGAGCUUGAGAAGCUCAAGAACACCGUUUCGACAAUCCAAGCCGUGCUUCUUGAUGCUGAGGAGCAAUGGACAGUGAACCGUGAAGUUACAGAUUGGCUUGAAAAGCUCAAGGAUGUCGUUUAUGAUGUAGACGACUUGCUAGAUGGUUUCUCCACUGAAUGUCUGUUGCGAGAGAUGAUGACUCAUGAUAAGAUGGCAAAAAAGGUACGAAUCUUCUUCUCCAAAUCAAACCAGCUUGUCUAUGAUCUGAAAAUGGGCCAUAAGAUUAAGGCGAUUAGACAGAAGUUAGAUGCCAUCGCAAAUGAUAGGAAAUUCCACUUGGAGGAACGCCCUGUGGAGAUAGGAGUCAGGGCAAGGAAGAGGGAUGAUACUCAUUCCUUUGUACCCGAGGCAGAAAUUAUUGGUAGAGAAGAUGACAAGAAGGAGAUCAUAGAUAUACUUCUUUCUGAUUCCAAUGUUAAAGUGAAUGUAGGAAUCCUUCCGAUUACUGGCAUCGGAGGAUUAGGAAAGACCACACUAGCUCAAUUCAUCUUUAAUGAUGAGGAAAUAGAUAAACAUUUUCAACUAAAAAUGUGGGUGUGCGUCUCUGAUACUUUUGAUGUUAGAAAAGUUGUUGAAAAAAUCCUAGAAUCGGCAAUAAAACAGAAACCAGACAUUACUGUUCAAAUGGAUACGUUGGUGCAUGGUCUUCGAAAAGAAAUUGUUGGAAAGAAAUACUUACUUGUGUUGGAUGAUGUUUGGAAUGAGGAAAGUGAGAAAUGGGAUAAAUUGAAAAAUUUGUUGAUGGGUGGUGCAAGUGGGAGUAGAAUAUUAAUAACUACACGAAGUCCAAAAGUUGCACAAAUUACCCAAACAAUUGGACCAUAUUUCUUACAGGGUUUAGACAGCCAGAAGUCAUGGUGUUUAUUUAAGAAAGUGGCAUUUGAGAACGGAGAAGAGCUAGUGAAUUCUAGAAAAGUGGAAGUUGGAAUGGAGAUUGUAGAAAAGUGUUCAGGUGUCCCUCUUGUCAUCAAAACAAUUGGAAGGUUACUGUCCUUGGAAAAUUCUGAAGCAGAGUGGGUUUCUUUUAACAACAAUAAACUGCAAAAAAUAAAAGAAGAUAAAAUCAUACCAACUCUUAAGCUGAGUUAUGAUCAACUUCCAUCACAUUUGAAACAAUGCUUUGCUUAUUGUAGUAUAUUUCCCAAGGAUUACGUGAUGAAGAAAUCAAAAUUGAUAAAUCUAUGGAUAGCACAGGGUUUAUCAAGCUAUCCAAUCAAAAUGAAUGUCUUGAAGAUGUUGGUCAUGAGUAUUUCAUGGAUUUACUUUGGAGAUCGUUCUUUCAAGAAGCUGAAAUGGAUGAUUUGGGAAACGUGAUUACAAGUAAAAUGCAUGACCUCAUGCAUGAUCUCGCAAUGUCAGUGGCAGGAUCAUUGAUCACCAAAUUAGAAUCUAAGGAAAAAAUUAUUGGUGAUCAGAAAACUCGGCACGUAUCAGUUAUCAACAAUAUAGAAUUUUCCUUUGUAAUUCCAACUUCCUCGUCUAAAGCCAGAAGGAUUCGAACACUUCUUUCGCUUGGUGAAUUGAAGGAUUUGCAAGAGUCAAGCACUUCUUGUGAAGCAAUCUUUUCAAGUUUGAAGUAUUUGCGAGUGUUGGAUUUACAUGGAAGACAGCUUGAUUUAGUACCGAGUUCUAUAUGUAAGUUGAAGCAUUUAAGAGAUCUUGAUCUUUCUAGGAAUCAAAAAAUCGAGAAGCUGCCCGAUUCCAUAUCUAGGUUGCAAAAUUUGUAUACACUAAGACUCUCUGGUUGCAGAGGGAUUAAAGAAUUGCCUAGUGGAAUUACGAAAUUAGUCAACCUCAGGCAUCUUUACAAUGAUGGAUGUUGGAGUUUGACUUAUAUGCCGCGUGGAUUGGGGCAAUUGACAAAUCUUCAGACAUUAUCUAAGUUUGUUGUCCACUCUGAUUCGGCCCCAAAGGAUAGUGGCCGGUUAAGCGAGCUAAAUAGACUAAAUAGCUUAAGAGGAGAAUUAGAGAUUUCGGGUUUGAGAAGUCGGGAGGAAGACAUCGCAUUAGACUAUAAGGGUGCAAAUCUAAAAGAGAAAGAACAUCUUCAGGUUUUGACUUUACGUUGGAGAAGAGGAAAUGUUAAUGCAGAUGAUGAAAUGGCCUUGGAAGGCUUUGAACCUCACCCAAAUCUUAAAAAGCUGAACAUAUAUGAAUAUGGGGUGUGAGGGUUCCGAUGUGGCUUUUGUCACUUACAAAUCUGGUUCACUUGAGUUUACAUGGUUGUACGAAAUUGAAAUAUUUGCCACCAUUGGUGGAGGAGGAGUGAUUCUUAUAAUGUGGAUGUCAAUACGACGGGGAAUGCUUUACUAUUCCCUCGUCUUUCAAAUUUAAGAAUAUGGAAUUGCCCUAUGUUGACUUCAUUGCCUUUUCAUCUGCUUCCUCCAGAAACAGUUCCAGUGAAAAACCUUAUAUCUCUCCAGUAUUUGGAGUUAAGCCUCUGCCCUAAAUUAAAGUCUCUCUCCCAUGGUGUACAAUAUCUCACUGCACUUCAACAACUGAAGCUUAGUGUCCUAUGCUUGAUCUAGGCAACGAUGAGCACGGUACGCAAUGGAAAGAGCUUAAAAGCCUCAUCUCUUUGGAGUUUGUCGGUAUUCCAAAAUUGGUGUCUCUCCCAUUGGGGCUUCAACAUGUUACCACUCUACGACAGCUCCGAAUCUCAAAUUGUUCAAGUUUGAUGACUAUACCAGAGUGGAUAUGCAAUUGUGCAUCACUUGAGCAAUUCGCAAUUUCUACAUGCUCUGGUUUAACAUCACUGCCUGAAGCAAUGAGUAGGCUAACCACUUUGAAAGUGUUGACAAUUCAUGAUUGCCCCAUCUUAUUACAAAGAUGCGAACAAGACAGAGGUGAGGAUUGGCCCAAGAUUGCUCACAUCCCAGAGCUGGAGUACUUUGAUCCUCAACUGGAAUACGACUGAUCUAGAAACGACUUUGAGUAAAGAAGAAACAGGGGAGAGGGACUGAGAGUUUGUUAAAAAAUCUAAUGUACUGCGACUUCUACAAGUAAAUAACUUAGUUAUGAUUACCUCGCUUUCUUUAUUGUUUUAUUCUUCCCUAGUCAAAUAAGAAAUAUCACCAUAUGCAUGAUUCUUCACAUCCAGGAGAAUGGUAAGGAGGAGGAAGAAGAGCAAAGGGAAGAAAUAUAGGAGGCAGCAAUGUUGAGGCUAUGUAAUUUCACGACGACAAUUUCAACAGGGUCUGCAUAUUUCUUAGCAUGGAAAGUGAUGGUAAUUUGAUUUUUGCUGAACUUGGGAUGAUACUAAUCAUUCUUUUGUACCUGAGGUAGAAGUUAUUGGUAGAAAGGAUGACAAGAAGAAGAUCAGAGAUAUACUUAUUUCUGAUUCCAAUGUUAAAGAGAAUGUAGGAAUCCUUCCGAUUAUAUACUGGCAUCGGAGGAUUAGGAAUGACCACACUAGCUCAAUUCAUUUUCAAUGAGCAGACGAUCCAAAAAUAUUUUCAGUUAAAAA